UGACUGAUUCAUAGAGAGAAGCGCAGAUUGUUUGUUUCUGAUUCCAUGAAUCGUUUUAUAAUUCUUUACCUCUACGUCUCCCAUAUUUACUCCGUCAAUCAAUGCCAGACCAAGUUCGUUACACCUCCUCCAUUCCGCCUUAUAUAUAUAUAUAUAUGUUAUCUUACGAGAGGAACCCUACGACCCUCAUUCUCUCAACAAUUCUUCAUCCAAUAAAACUGUAUUACACCUUCUUGAAAAUGAUUUCAUCCGCUGCUCUAGUUGCCAGAGCCGCCGUCUGCCACUCAACUUUCGGUUCUCUCCAUUUUCGGGAUUCUCGGAACAUCAAAAAAUGGCGAGUUUAUGGGAAUCAGCUUCUCUUCCUUGAUGACACGAAUUCGGAGAUCCACGGCUUCGUCCCCGCUGGUCGUAGAUAUCAUGAAGGUUCAGUUCAUUAAUGUGUGGAACUGCGUUUUUAUUGUGUUUUGAGAUAACUGGGCGCAUCACAUACUACCAAGGUUGAAGGAAAAAAGGAGCGUGUAACCACAUCCCUCAAAUCCGAGUAAGGAGGAUCUAGAGGCAUGGCUCAACAAGGAGAAUAUAUAAACUCUGAAGGAAGAGUUAACAUAAACUGAUACGAGAAACACUUAGUUAUACAAGGAACUCCAGUCUGCGGAGUCAACUUGCAGCUGAACAGUCGAGGUAUUUCAAAUUAGAGGUUGAGGAUGCAGAGGUAAGACAAAAUAUUAAGACAAUGGAAACACUUGAAAAGAAACUGGGAUUCAUCCACCGCCAGAGAGCCGUUGUGUCUGAACAAGCCGCCGCCAAUAUGAAUGGCAAAAGACAAAGCUAUGGUAGCGUCUGAGGAUGGCUUGCUGGAACUCUUCCGCCAAAAGCAUUAAUCCCCCAUGAAGUGAGUGGAAGUGGACAAAGCUACUCAAGAGAACUGAAGAGAUCAACAAGGCCUUUGCCAAUGAAGUCUCAUGGGACCCAUCUUCCACGUCUUCUACUCAAGCACCAACACAUAGACCAAGUGAAAGAACAUAUGGUUCGAUCUAAACCGUUAAUUGUCUUUGCUUAAGGUUCUGUCUCAGUCAAUGUUAUGGAUUGCAGUUGAACUGUGGUAUUCAGGUUUUUUUUUUUUUUUUAACAUUCAUGUUUAGUUUCUAGAAUGAGGAAAAACAAAAUUGUGAAAUUAAGAGUCAAGAAAGUAGAAAGCUUCACCUUGAGAUUGGUUUUACCUGCAGAUUCAUGUGUUAUGGUAGAUAACGGCAAACAAAGUUUACUUUCUUUGCUUCGGUUACAAAAGAACAAGAGCGUGUUCACAAGUCGAUAAAGAUUGACACUUGAAAUAAAUUUUAUUUUUUUCAAAGAGUAGUUAGGAAUCUUUCUACUCUCUUCUCUUUCUCACUACGUAAAAAGUCUUGG